CGGGAUUUAGUGGAACAGUUGUU
rnacentral:miRNA from 1 species